UAACCAACUACCGAGUCCUAUUUAAACAACUAGACUAUAAUAAGUUUUUCCAAUCUUAGUAUCUUUUUGUCGGCCAGUAAAUAUUUCUAGACCAGAAUCAAUCCAAUCUUCUUGGAGUAGGAACUCAGCUCAGCCGUUCAGAUUAAAGAUGGAAACAAGGAUAGCCUCAAGUGCAACUGUAAGUGAAGUUCUUAAUGUAAACAUUAAUUAUUUGGUUUGGAGUGUCCAAGUGAGAACCUAUUUGAUUGCUCAAGAUAUAUGGGACAUUGUUGAAGCAACCGACGAAUGUCCCAAGCAAGAAGAAUGCCAUGGCUUUACAUGUGAUCCAAAUUUCAUGCUCGUAACAGAUAUGUCAUGUGAUUAGUCUGAUUACUUCUGCCAAAAUUGCUUGGGAAACUUUGGAAUCAAUAUGCAGCAUCCCCAAAAGUGAUUAUUUUGAGGAGGAGGAAGAAAGUUAUGUGGGUUGGAGCAAUCGGAUGAAAACAAUUUUAAUGGAUCAUGAUCUUUGGAACAUUGUUGAAACAACCACCGAACCAACUACACCUGCAUGGAGCAAGACGAAUGCUUUGGCUUUAUAUUUGAUCAGGGAAUCCUGCGGGUCGGACAUAUUUUCUUUGAUAGAGAAAAUUAGUAAGGCUAAAGACGCUUGGGAUGAAAUUACAAACUCAGGUAGCUAUUUCUCUCCUAAAGAUACACAUGCUCUAUCAUUCUAUAAUAAUAGAUUAAAGUUUGCAAAUCGAUGAUAACACUAGAGUGGUUGCCAUUGUUUCUUCGCUAUAUUCAGUGUGGUUGUGGUGAUGGUGGUUUCGGUGAGUCUUUGCCCAUUUUGGUCACUAAUAGGGUUGUAAAUAAAUAAACUUUCUAAAUGAAACUAACAAAGCUCCUCUGCUAUCUAUACUACACAAUAGAGCCAAGGGAGUCAAUACCGCUCCGGAGGCUGUACCAGU